rnacentral:rRNA from 1 species
AGUGAACGCUGGCGGUAGGCCUAACACAUGCAAGUCGAACGGCAGCACAGUAAGAUCUUGCUCUUACGGGUGGCGAGUGGCGGACGGGUGAGGAAUACAUCGGAAUCUACUUUUUCUGGGGGGAUAACGUAGGGAAACUUACGCUAAUACCGCAUACGACCUACGGGUGAAAGCAGUGGAUCUUCGGACCUUGCGCGAUUGAAUGAGCCGAUGUCGGAUUAGCUAGUUGGCGGGGUAAAGGCCCACCAAGGCGACGAUCCGUAGCUGGUCUGAGAGGAUGAUCAGCCACACUGGAACUGAGACACGGUCCAGACUCCUACGGGAGGCAGCAGUGGGGAAUAUUGGACAAUGGGCGCAAGCCUGAUCCAGCCAUACCGCGUGGGUGAAGAAGGCCUUCGGGUUGUAAAGCCCUUUUGUUGGGAAAGAAAAGAAGCAGGUUAAUACCUCGCUGUUCUGACGGUACCCAAAGAAUAAGCACCGGCUAACUUCGUG